rnacentral:rRNA from 1 species
GUGCCAGCAGCCGCGGUAAUACGGGGGGAGCGAGCGUUAUUCGGAUUCACUGGGCGUAAAGGGUUCGUAGGCGGUCAAGUAAGUCAGGGGUGAAAUCUAACGGCUUAACCGUUAAACUGCCCUUGAAACCGCUUGACUUGAGGACAUGAGAGGAAAGCGGAAUUCUUGGUGUAGCGGUGAAAUGCGUGGAUAUCAAGAGGAACACCGGUGGCGAAGGCGGCUUUCUGGCAUGUUACUGACGCUGAGGAACGAAAGUCAGGGGAGCGAACGGGAUUAGAAACCCUAGUAGUCC